UUUCAUCAGAUGAGAAGCUCCCAUCAGAUCACCUUCAGCAUCAACAUGUUCUCUGUAGCUCUGCUGCUGCUGCUGGCUGCUGGAUCCUGUGUGAAGUGUGAACAGCUGACACAGCCAGCCUCUGUGAUUGUGCAGCCAGGUCAGCGUCUGACCAUCACCUGUCAGGUCUCUUAUUCUCUUGGCUCCUACACAGCUUGGAUCCGACAGCCUGCAGGGAAAGGACUGGAGUGGAUUGGGAUGAAAAAUACUGGAUAUUCAUACUAUAAAGAUUCACUAAAGAGCAAGUUCAGCAUUGAUUUAGAGACGUCAAGCAAGACAGUGACUUUAAACGGACAGAAUAUGCAGCCUGAAGACACUGCUGUGUAUUACUGUGCCAGACGCCACAGUAGCACAAAGCAUCAGCAGAGCUGAACAAAAACCUCUCAGUGGCUGAGCAGUUGUAGCAUGAAGCCACCAGAGGAGGAGCUCUAAGACCAAUAAUGUAUUUAAAAGUGUUUCUGUGGGAAGGAAACACUUCUUAGAAAAACUUAGAGGAAAUUCUAAAAAACUGAUUGUGAAAGAUCUUGAUAUAGCUCUUAAA